rnacentral:rRNA from 1 species
UACGGGGGGGGCAAGCGUUGUUCGGAAUUACUGGGCGUAAAGGGCUCGUAGGCGGCCAACUAAGUCGGAUGUGAAAUCCCCAGGCUUAACCUGGGAACUGCAUCCGAUACUGGAUGGCUUGAAUCCGGGAGAGGGAUGCAGAAUUCCAGGUGUAGCGGUGAAAUGCGCAGAUAUCAGGAGGAACACCGGUGGCGAAGGCGGGUCUCUGGGCCGAUACUGACGCUGAGGAGCGAAAGUGUGGGGAGCGAACAGG